AGAGUUUGAUCCUGGCUCAGAACGAACGCUGGCGGCAGGCCUAACACAUGCAAGUCAAGGGGCUCUUCGGAGCACCGGCGCACGGGUGCGUAACACGUGGGAACAUACCUCUAGGUAAGGAAUAACUAUUGGAAACGAUAGCUAAUACCUUAUAAUCCCUUCUAGCUGGCGCUGGUUGGGCAAAGAUUUAUCGCCUAGAGAUUGGCCCGCGCUUGAUUAGAUAGUUGGUGAGGUAAUGGCUCACCAAGUCUACGAUCAAUAGCUGGUCUGAGAGGACGACCAGCCACACUGGAACUGAGACACGGUCCAGACUCCUACGGGAGGCAGCAGUGAGGAAUAUUGCACAAUGGGGGAAACCCUGAUGCAGCCAUGCCGCGUGAGUGAAGAAGGCCUUAGGGUUGUAAAACUCUUUCAGUAGUGAAGAUAAUGACGGUAACUACAGAAGAAGCUCCGGCUAACUUCGUGCCAGCAGCCGCGGUAAUACGAAUGGAGCAAGCGUUGUUCGGAAUCACUGGGCGUAAAGCGUACGUAGGCUGAUUUUCAAGUCAGAAGUGAAAGCCCAGGGCUCAACCCUGGAACUGCUUUUGAAACUGGAAGUCUAGAGUCCCGGAGAGGUUAGGGGAAUUCCGAGUGUAGCAGUGAAAUGCGCAGAUAUUCGGAGGAACACCAGUGGCGUAGGCGGCUAACUGGACGGGUACUGACACUGAGGUACGAAAGCGUGGGGAGCAAACAGGAUUAGAUACCCUGGUAGUCCACGCCGUAAACGAUGUAUGCUAGUUGUUGGAUGUUUAGGCAUUCAGUGACGGAGGGAAACCAUUAAGCAUACCGCCUGGGGAGUACGGUCGCAAGAUUAAAACUCAAAGGAAUUGACGGGGACCCGCACAAGCGGUGGAGCAUGUUGUUUAAUUCGAAUCAACGCGAAGAACCUUACCCACACUUAACUAUCCUCUUGGGGCUUUCAGAGAUGAUCGCUUUCGGUUCGCGGCCGGACUAGAUACAGGUGCUGCAUGGCUGUCGUCAGCUCGUGUCGUGAGAUGUUAGGUUAAGUCCUGCAACGAGCGCAACCCUUAUCGUAUGUUACCAUCAGGUUAAGCUGGGGACUCAUGCGAGACUGCCGGUGACAAGCCGGAGGAAGGCGGGGACGACGUCAAGUCAUCAUGGCCCUUACGUGUGGGGCUAGAAACGUGCUACAAUGGAUGUGACAGUGGGCAGCCACCUCGCGAGAGGGAGCUAAUCCUCAAACACAUUCUCAGUUCGGAUUGUACUCUGCAACUCGAGUGCAUGAAGUUGGAAUCGCUAGUAAUCGUAAAUCAGCAUGUUACGGUGAAUACGUUCCCGGGUCUUGUACACACCGCCCGUCACGUCAUGGGAGUUGGUUCUACCCGAAGACAGCGUGCUAACCUUUUGGAGGCAGCUGGCUACGGUAGGUUCAGCGACUGGGGUGAAGUCGUAACAAGGUAACC
rnacentral:rRNA from 1 species